ACUAUCGCAACCGCCAACGGGGAGGUCGGGGCCGCCGGAUCUAGCGACCCCUGCCUCCCCAAUGGUGGAUGACUGGCCCGAGC
rnacentral:pre_miRNA from 1 species